rnacentral:rRNA from 1 species
UACGUAGGGUGCGAGCGUUGUCCGGAAUUAUUGGGCGUAAAGAGCUCGUAGGCGGUUUGUUGCGUCUAUCGUGAAAACCUGCAGCUUAACUGUGGGCUUGCGGUGGGUACGGGCAGACUUGAGUUCGGUAGGGGAGACUGGAAUUCCGGGUGUAGCGGUGGAAUGCGUAGAGAUCCGGAAGAACACCGGUGGCGAAGGCGGCCUGCUGGGCAGUGGCUGACACUGAGGCGCGACAGCGUGGGGAGCAAACAGG